ACGAACGCUGGCGGCGUGCUUAACACAUGCAAGUCGAGCGGUAAGGCCCUUCGGGGUACGACGAGCGGCGAACGGGUGAGUAACACGUGGGUGACCUGCCCUCAGCUCUGGGAUAAGCCUGGGAAACCGGGUCUAAUACUGGAUAUGACUCCAUGACGCAUGUUGUGGGNGGAAAGCCUUGUGCGGCUGAGGAUGGGCCCGCGGCCUAUCAGCUUGUUGGU
rnacentral:rRNA from 1 species